ACUUGUUCUUUAAAUGAGGACUAGUAUGAAAGGCAUCACGAGGGUUAUACUGUCUCCUUUUUCUAAUUAGUGAAACUAAUCUCCCCGUGAAGAAGCGGGGAUUAUACUAUAAGACGAGAAGACCCUAUGGAGCUUUAAAUAAUGUAACAAUUGCUACUUUAUCUUUACUUACCUUAUAACAUCUAGCAACAUGAUUACUAAUUUUUGGUUGGGGUGACCGCGGAGCACAAAAUAACCUCCACAUUGAAAGGAAGAUACUCCUAAGCUAAAAGCAACAAACUUUAAGCAUCAAUAAAUUGACAUUAAUUGACCCAAUAUAUUUGAUCAACGAACCAAGUUACCCUAGGGAUAACAGCGCAAUCUACUUUAAGAGCCCAUAUCGACAAGUAG
rnacentral:rRNA from 1 species